CAUAUUGUUACAUACUACUCAGG
rnacentral:piRNA from 1 species